rnacentral:rRNA from 1 species
UGGACGUCAGGAUGAACGCUAGCGACAGGCCUAACACAUGCAAGUCGAGGGGCGAGCACAAGGAGCAAUCUGAGGUGGCGACCGGCGCACGGGUGAGUAACACGUAUGCAACCUGCCUGUAAGCGGGGAAUAACCCGUUGAAAGACGGACUAAUACCGCAUAAUACUAAAUUACUGCAUGGUAAUUUAUUUAAACAUUUAUGGCUUACAGAUGGGCAUGCGCAUGAUUAGCUAGUUGGAGAGGUAACGGCUCCCCAAGGCAACGAUCAUUAGGGGUUCUGAGAGGAAGGUCCCCCCACACUGGUACUGAGACACGGACCAGACUCCUACGGGAGGCAGCAGUGAGGAAUAUUGGUCAAUGGACGAGAGUCUGAACCAGCCAAGUCGCGUGCAGGAAGAAUGUCCUAUGGAUUGUAAACUGCUUUUGCAGGGGAAUAAAGUGCAUCACGUGUGAUGUUUUGUAUGUACUCUGCGAAUAAGGAUCGGCUAACUCCGUGCCAGCCGCGGC